rnacentral:rRNA from 1 species
GGACAACAGUUGGAAACGACUGCUAAUACCGCAUAAGCCCACGGUACCGCAUGGUACUGAGGGAAAAGGAUUUAUUCGCUUUAGGAUGGACUCGCGUCCAAUUAGCUAGUUGGUGAGGUAACGGCCCACCAAGGCGACGAUUGGUAGCCGGACUGAGAGGUUGAACGGCCACAUUGGGACUGAGACACGGCCCAGACUCCUACGGGAGGCAGCAGUGGGGGAUAUUGCACAAUGGGGGAAACCCUGAUGCAGCGACGCCGCGUGGAGGAAGAAGGUUUUCGGAUUGUAAACUCCUGUCGUUAGGGACGAUAAUGACGGUACCUAACAAGAAAGCACCGGCUAACUACGUGCCAGCAGCCGCGGUAAAACGUAGGGUGCAAGCGUUGUCCGGAAUUACUGGGUGUAAAGGGAGCGCAGGCGGGAAGACAAGUUGGAAGUGAAAACCAUGGGCUCAACCCAUGAAUUGCUUUCAAAACUGUUUUUCUUGAGUAGUGCAGAGGUAGAUGGAAUUCCCGGUGUAGCGGUGGAAUGCGUAGAUAUCGGGAGGAACACCAGUGGCGAAGGCGGUCUACUGGGCACCAACUGACGCUGAGGCUCGAAAGCAUGGGUAGCAAACAGGAUUAGAUACCCUGGUAGUCCAUGCCGUAAACGAUGAUUACUAGGUGUUGGGGGAUUGACCCCCUCAGUGCCGCAG